rnacentral:rRNA from 1 species
UACGUAGGGGGCUAGCGUUGUCCGGAUUUAUUGGGCGUAAAGAGCUCGUAGGCGGCUUGUCGCGUCGACUGUGAAAACCCGCGGCUCAACUGCGGGCCUGCAGCCGAUACGGGCAGGCUAGAGUUCGGUAGGGGAGACUGGAAUUCCUGGUGUAGCGGUGAAAUGCGCAGAUAUCAGGAGGAACACCGGUGGCGAAGGCGGAUCUCUGGGCCUUACCUGACGCUGAGGCGCGAAAGCUAGGGGAGCAAACGGG